AGAGUUUGAUCCUGGCUCAGGAUGAACGCUGGCGGCGUGCCUAACACAUGCAAGUCGAACGGGUGUACGGGAAGGAAGGCUUCGGCCGGAAAACCUGUGCAUGAGUGGCGGACGGGUGAGUAACGCGUGGGCAACCUGGCCUGUACAGGGGGAUAACACUUAGAAAUAGGUGCUAAUACCGCAUAACGGGGGAAGCCGCAUGGCUUUUCCCUGAAAACUCCGGUGGUACAGGAUGGGCCCGCGUCUGAUUAGCCAGUUGGCAGGGUAACGGCCUACCAAAGCGACGAUCAGUAGCCGGCCUGAGAGGGCGGACGGCCACACUGGGACUGAGACACGGCCCAGACUCCUACGGGAGGCAGCAGUGGGGGAUAUUGCACAAUGGGGGGAACCCUGAUGCAGCGACGCCGCGUGGGUGAAGAAGCGCCUCGGCGCGUAAAGCCCUGUCAGCAGGGAAGAAAAUGACGGUACCUGAAGAAGAAGCCCCGGCUAACUACGUG
rnacentral:rRNA from 1 species